rnacentral:lncRNA from 1 species
UAUAACAUAAAUCUAGAAAAAAAAUUAAUAUAAUAACUAAAUUUUUUAUCUUGAAUUUUAAUUAAUAAAUGUAUAAUUUUUAUAUAAAUCGCAUAUCAGAAUAAUUGUCGAACUCAUUUUUUAAACCGUAUCUAUUCACCAAAUCGUAUUUAUUCACCAAAUUAAAAAAUUAGAAUAUAAAUUUUAUUCAUAUUAUAUCUGUACUGAAUUUUUUUGUCGAAUCAGAAU